CGAAGCGAAAGCGAGUCUUAAGAGGGCGAAAGUUGCAUGCAGUAGACCCGAAACCGGGUGAUCUAGCCAUGACCAGGUUGAAGUUGGGGUAAAACCCGAUGGAGGACCGAACCGACCCCCGUUGAAACGUUGGCGGAUGAGUUGUGGCUAGGGGUGAAAUUCCAAUCGAACCCGGAGAUAGCUGGUUCUCCCCGAAAUAGCUUUAGGGCUAGCGUCGAGGUAGAGAGUUGCGUGAAGGUAGAGCACUGAAUAUGUGAUGGCCCCAUCUCGGGGUACUGAGCAUAAUCAAACUGCGAAUGUCACGGAAACAUACUCGGCAGUCAGACAGCGGGUGAUAAGGUCCGUUGUCAAGAGGGAAACAGCCCAGACCAUCAGCUAAGGUCCCAAAAUGUAUGCUAAGUGGAAAAGGAUGUGGAGAUGUACAGACAACUAGGAGGUUGGCUCAGAAGCAGCCAUCCUUUAAAGAGUGCGUAACAGCUCACUAGUCGAAUGACUCUGCGCCGAUAAUUUACCGGGGCUAAGCAUACUACCGAAGCUAUGGAUCCCAAGGGAUGGUAGGGGAGCGUUCCAUGAACGGAGAAGCGCGAUCGAGAGGACGCGUGGAGAUCAUGGAAGAGAGAAUGCCGGUGUGAGUAGCGGAACGUGGGUGAGAAUCCCACGCACCGAAAACCCAAGGUUUCCAGAGGAAGGUUCGUCCGCUCUGGGUAAGUCGGGACCUAAGGCGAGGCCGAAAGGCGUAGUCGAUGGACAACAGGUAGAGAUUCCUGUACCCGUAUAUAUGUGAAGGAAUGACGGAGAGAGGAAGCUGCAGCCAGCGGCUGGAAGAGCUGGUGCAAGCGAGAUAUCGGGAUGGCAGGCAAAUCCACCAUCCGAAACGAGAAGGCGUGAAGCGUACGGAAAGCUACGGCGAGUACGGAAGGCAGUGGAGGAACUUCCAAGAAAAGUUUCUAACGUUAAGUAUAUAUGGCCCGUACCGAAAAUGGACACACAUGGGUGAGGAGAGAAUCCUAAGGUGAGCGAGAGAACUAUAGCUAAGGAACUCUGCAAAAUGACUCCGUAACUUAGGGAGAAGGAGUGCUCAUAGAGAUAUGAGCCGCAGUGAAACGGCCCAAGCGACUGUUUACCAAAAACACAGCUCUCUGCUAAGCCGCAAGGCGAAGUAUAGGGGGUGACGCCUGCCCGGUGCUGGAAGGUUAAGGGGAGGGGUUAACGCAAGUGAAGCCCUGAACUGAAGCCCCAGUAAACGGCGGCCGUAACUAUAACGGUCCUAAGGUAGCGAAAUUCCUUGUCAGGUAAGUUCUGACCCGCACGAAAGGCGUAACGAUUUGGGCGCUGUCUCAGCUGUAGACUCGGUGAAGUCUUAGUACCUGUGAAGAUGCAGGUUACCCGCGACUAGACGGAAAGACCCCAUGGAGCUUCACUGCAGGUUGAUAUUGGGAUUUGAUGCAGCAUGUACAGGAUAGGUAGGAGGCAAAGAGAUGGAUACGCCAGUAUUCAAGGAGCCGCUGUUGGGAUACUACCCCUGUUGUAUUGGAUUUCUAACCGGACGACGUAGAGCCGUUGACGGGACAGUGUCAGUCGGGCAGUUUGACUGGGGCGGUCGCCUCCCAAAGAGUAACGGAGGCGCCCAAAGAUACCCUCAGCUUGGAUGGAAACCAAGCGCAGAGUGCAAAGGCAAAAGGGUGUUUGACUGCGAGACCCACAAGUCGAGCAGGGACGAAAGUCGGGCUUAGUGAUC
rnacentral:rRNA from 1 species